rnacentral:rRNA from 2 species
GGUCAAGUUAUUAAGGGUGCAGGGCGGAUGCCUUGGCACUAGGAGCCGAUGAAGGACGCGAUAAGCUGCGAUAAGCUUCGGGGAGUUGCACGUAAACUUUGAUCCGAAGAUUUCCGAAUGAGGAAACUCACUUAGAGUAAUGUCUAAGUAUCAUUAAGUGAAUACAUAGCUUAAUGAGGGGAACUCAGGGAACUGAAACAUCUAAGUACCUGAAGGAAGAGAAAGAAAUUCGAUUCCGUAAGUAGCGGCGAGCGAACGCGGAAUAGCCCAAACCAAUAAAGUUUUCUUUAUUGGGGUUGCGGACAUAUCUUAAACGAAGAGGUAUCGUAAUUGAAGAGGUUUGGAAAGACCCACCA